GGAAGUUUAUAUCCAAUUCAGCCUAAAAAAUUUGUAAUCUUCCCAUUAUUCUAUUCCUGCCUUGCUAAACACUCCCACCAAAGAUCAAACCAACCUUCUUUUCUUCCAUUUCUUUCUUCUUCUUCUUGCAUACGAUCAAUGGCUGUAGCAAGCUUUUCUUCUCCUCAUAUCCUAGCUCAAAAUUCUGGUCCAGUUAUAAAGCCUAAAAGCAAAACCAUGAUGCUUAAACAGAGUAAAAUUCCACUCAAGAAAGCCCCUACACUUCAAGUCAGAUCAUCUUUCAAGAACACGGUCUUUGAGAAUCAAUCUGAGGGCAUAAUUUGUUACAGAGAUGAAAGUGGAGAGAUAAUUUGUGAAGGAUUUGAUGAAGGCCCUCGGUUUCAUCAACAGCUUCCAAGAACAGCCUAUCAUUCAACUUCAAGAGAUGCUGUAAUUAUCAAUCUGCUUCAACAAAGAUUGCUUCAAAUUGUUAAUGGCGGUGAAUUUAACAACUCUGACAAUGGAGUUGCUGCUGUGCAAGAAGACUUCAAAUGGAAUGGCUUUAACAAAUUCUGCUGAUCAGUGACUAACUCUUUCAUCAAUGUACUUCAAAAUAAUUUGUAUCAGUAUGGAAAGGAAAAGUAUUUCAUUUCUUACAAUACCAGAAUGUAAUUAAAUGCCCAGCCGAAACCCUAAUCAUAUUUCCUAUCAUUUUGUUUUCAAAUUCCAGCAUCAU
rnacentral:misc_RNA from 1 species